rnacentral:tRNA from 2 species
GGCGAAGUAGCUCAGUUGGCUAGAGCACACGGUUCAUACCCGUGGUGUCGGGGGUUCAAGUCCCUCCUUCGCUA